UAAAUAUUUUAAAGCAAAAAUUGAGAAAGCUAGACACUCAUAUGAGAAGCAGUAUUCCACCCGAAGAGAAACUGGUGAUAACUCUCAGGGAUGCUCCCUGAUGGACUUGCAGUAUGCAUUCCGAGUGGGCAGAUCAACAGCAGGGGCCACUGUCAGAGAAGUUUGUGGAGCAAUAUGGACAUGUUUAGCCAAUCAUGCAUUACCUAAGCUCUCCACAGAAAAAUGGCUGGAAAUAGCUGAGGGAUAUGAAAAGUAUGCUAACUUUCCUCAUUGUUUAGGCGCAAUUAAUGGAAAGCACGUGAGAGUUGUGCAACCUCCGAAUAGUGGUUCUAUGUACUAUAACUAUAAAAACUAUUUCUCCAUCGUGUUGUUUGCCAUGUGUGAUGCUAAUUAUUUAUUUACAUACAUAGACGUGGGAUCAUAUGGGAAAUCAAGUGAUUCAGGAACAUUAAAAAACUCUUAACUCUUUGAAAAGCUGUCUGAUGGUUCGUUAGGAAUUCCUCCACCAACGCAAAUUGCAGAUUCAUCUCUACAUUAUCCGUAUGUCUGAGUUGGUGACGAGGCCGUCCCACUAUCAACAAACUUACUUAGACCGUAUGGUGGCAGGCAUCUAACUGAUACCAAGAAAAUAUUCAACUACAGACUGUCUAGAGCCAGGCGCUAUAUACAAUGCUCCUUCGGUAUUUUAGCAAAUAAGUGAAGAAUAUUUCACAGACCACUAAAUGUAGAUAUUGGUUUUGCUGAAGUUGUAAUUAAGGCUGCUUGUGUAACACAAAGGGAUGGAAAACGUGAGGACACCUUCCCACAAUGUAGUAUGCAGAACUUAACGUUCGACAGAGUCAGCAGAGGAAAUAUGAGAGAUAAAUUUGCUCACUAUUUUUCAGAAAUUGCUCUAUUAGAAUGGCAGAAUAAGGUCAUUGAAGGUUGAUUUCGGACUGUAUUCGUGACUACCGAAGUCCACCAUAAUCUUGCACAUAAGGUAUAAACUUACCUAAUGUCUUUUUCUCUUCUAUAGCCGUGUCCUGUUCCGCAAAUUUAUUCACAAUUUUUUCCCAAGAGAUUUUCCUUUUUGUUUUGUCCAUAUAAUCACCAUGCGUCAUAUCGCAUAUUGCUGGUCGGGCAUGGAC